ACUAAAUUGGUGCCAGCAGUCGCGGUUAUACCAUUAAUACAAAUAAAUUUUUUUAGUAUUAAUUAAAUUAAAUUUAUUAAUAAUAAUAAAAUUAAAUAUAUUAAGUGAAAUUUUAUAUUUAAAUUAUUAUAUAAAAAUGUAAUUGAGGUUAAAAAAUUUUAAUAAAAAACUAGGAUUAGAUACCCUAUUAUUUAAAAUGUAAAUAAAUUGCUAAAGUAGUAAUAGUUAUGUUCUUGAAACUUAAAAAAUUUGGCGGUAUUUUAGUCUAUCUAGAGGAACCUGUUUUUUAAUCGAUAAUCCACGAUGGACCUUACUUAAAUUUGUAAUCAGUUUAUAUACCGUCGUUAUCAGAAUAUUUUAUAAGAAUAAUAAUAUUCAAUAAUUUUAAUAAAAAUUUAUAUCAGAUCAAGGUGUAGCUUAUAUUUAAGUAAUAAUGGGUUACAAUAAAUUUAUUUAUAUGAAUAAAAUUAUGAAAAAAUUUUUGAAAGUGGAUUUAGUAGUAAAAUUAUAAAGAUUAAUAAUUUGAUUUUAGCUCUAAAAUAUGUACACAUCGCCCGUCGCUCUUAUUAUUAAGGUAAGAUAAGUCGUAACAUAGUAGAUGUACUGGAAAGUGUAUCUAGAAUGA
rnacentral:rRNA from 1 species